rnacentral:rRNA from 1 species
UACAGGGGUGCAAACGUUGCUCGGAAUCAUUGGGCGUAAAGCGCACGUAGGCGGUCUAGUUAUGUCGGAUGUGAAAGCCCUUGGCUUAAACUGAGGAAGUGCAUCCGAAACUGGCAGGGCUAGAGUAGCUAAAGAGGGUCGCGGAAUUCCCGGUGUAGAGGUGAAAUUCGUAGAUAUCGGGAGGAACACCGGUGGCGAAGGCGGCGACCUGGGUAGAUACGUGACGCUGAGGUGCGAAAGCGUGGGGAGCAAACAGGG